rnacentral:rRNA from 1 species
AUGAACGCUGGCGGCGUGCCUAAUACAUGCAAGUCGAGCGAACGGACGAGAAGCUUGCUUCUCUGAUGUUAGCGGCGGACGGGUGAGUAACACGUGGAUAACCUACCUAUAAGACUGGGAUAACUUCGGGAAACCGUAGCUAAUACCGGAUAAUAUUUUGAACCGCAUGGUUCAAAAGUGAAAGACGGUCUUGCUGUCACUUAUAGAUGGAUCCGCGCUGCAUUAGCUAGUUGGUAAGGUAACGGCUUACCAAGGCAACGAUGCAUAGCCGACCUGAGGGGGUGAUCGGCCACACUGGAACUGAGACACGGUCCAGACUCCUACGGGAGGCAGCAGUAGGGAAUCUUCCGCAAUGGGCGAAAGCCUGACGGAGCAACGCCGCGUGAGUGAUGAAGGUCUUCGGAUCGUAAAACUCUGUUAUUAGGGAAGAACAUAUGUGUAAGUAACUGUGCACAUCUUGACGGUACCUAAUCAGAAAGCCACGGCUAUCUACGUG